AGCGAUUGGUGGGCGGGGGGCCGGGCCUGGGCCGGCGGGGAGCGGAUUGGUCGGAAAGUAGGUUAGUGGUGCGACAUUUAGGGAAGGCAGAAAGUAGGUCAGGGACGGAGGUGCCUGUUUACCCGCGCCGGACUCACCGCCGCCGCCGCCGCGGGAUCCGAGUGGGGGCGCGGGCGCGGGCGCUCCCGGCGAGCCACGGUGGUGCUGUCUAACGUGCAUGUUUUUGGACCCAAGCUUAACUUUUCAAAUGUGGAAUGCUAGGCCUUCAUUGGAUUCCCAAGCAUCUAAAGCUUCCAGCAGGACUGGGUACACAAGCGCCACAAGCGGGAUUCUCCGCAGGCCCCUGACAGCCGCUGCACGUACACUGUCCUCUGCGCAGAACAUCAUUCCAACUAUCCAACCUGCCAGCUACGUUGCGGCCCACAGCUAGAAAAAAAGGCACUCCUUCCUCAAGACACUUGACCACCACCUGCUGGAAAUUUAGGGGUGCUGGGGCAAGGAGAGGGAAAGCUGAGAGAUGCCUGGUCUGUGAUUGGAGGGCUCCCUGUGGCCAUCUUCCUGUGGACGGUGUGUGUGUGGGCUUCUUAAGGGGCAGUUAGCCUCGCCCUGCUGUGCUUGAAGGAGCAGUGGUCUCCUUUGGGUGUCUAACAGUGGCUAAAAUGCCCACCUCUUCCAGCCCCCUUGUUCCUUUGUGUGGAGCCACAGAGAAUCUUCUUCCUGGGCUCUGAGGAGGGACUGGGUGGGACGGGGGGCCCCCAAGCUCUUCCAAGGCAUAAUUCCCAGGCCCCUUCAUGCCUUACUUUCUCUGGCCACCCAGAGAGCCUCCCUCCCACCCUCAGAAAUCUCCAGCUCAGAAGUGGGCUCACAUGUGAUACCCACUCUAGGACCAGGGCUGGGCUGUCCCCAGAGCAUCCUCACUAUGUGUCA
ensembl:lncRNA